AAUUCGAUUAGUUUGAUCAUGGCUCAGGACGAACGCUGGCGGCGCGCUUAAUACAUGCAAGUCGAGCGAGAACCAGCCCUUCGGGGCUGGGGAAAGCGGCGAACGGGUGAGUAACACGUGGGUAAUCUGCCCUCGGCACCGGGAUAGCCCGGGGAAACCCGGAUUAAUACCGGAUAGCCUCUCGAGCUCUCGAGCUCGCGAGAAAAGGUAGCUUUGGCCUCUGGCCGAGGAGGAGCCCGCGGCGGAUUAGCUUGUUGGUGAGGUAACGGCCCACCAAGGCGACGAUCCGUAGCUGGUCUGAGAGGACGAUCAGCCACACUGGGACUGAGACACGGCCCAGACUCCUACGGGAGGCAGCAGUAGGGAAUCUUGCGCAAUGGGCGGAAGCCUGACGCAGCGACGCCGCGUGCGGGAAGAAGGCCUUCGGGUUGUAAACCGCUUUCAGGAGGGACGAAGCCACUCGGGUUAAUAGCCCAGAGGGUGACGGUACCUCCAGAAGAAGCCCCGGCUAACUACGUGCCAGCAGCCGCGGUAAUACGUAGGGGGCAAGCGUUGUCCGGAUUUAUUGGGCGUAAAGCGCGUGUAGGCGGCCAGGUAGGUCCGUUGUGAAAACUCGAGGCUCAACCUCGAGACGUCGACGGAAACCAUCUGGCUAGAGU
rnacentral:rRNA from 1 species